GAGGGCUUCGCUCUUGCUAAUCGGAGGCGGCGUGGGGGAGGAGGAGAGGGAGGCGCGGCAGAAUGAAGCCGGUAGUUGGGAUCGUGGUGUCGAACAAGAUGCAGAAGUCGGUGGUGGUGGCGGUGGACCGGCUCUUCCACCACAAGCUCUACAAUCGCUACGUCAAGCGCACAAGCAAGUUCAUGGCCCACGACGAGAAAAACCAAUGUAACAUCGGCGACCGGGUUAGGUUGGAUUCUUCAAGGCCACUGAGCAAAAGAAAGCACUGGGUUGUUGCUGAGAUUCUACGGAAGGCAAGAAUCUACGUUCGACCAUCUCUGGCAGCUCAAACACCCGGUGAGCCAGCUGCUGCUUCAACUCCAUCUGGAUCUCUUCCUUCUUCAUGAGGUUAACAGCAAAAGCAGAAUCAUCUUGUGUAAUAUAGCAAAGUUUGCAAGCUUAUGAGCUUCAAUACCAUUGAUAGUGUUCCUCCAUAUAAUGCAUGAACCACCGUUUGUACAA